AGCGAACGCUGGCGGCAGGCCUAACACAUGCAAGUCGAACGGAUCCUUCGGGAUUAGUGGCGGACGGGUGAGUAACACGUGGGAACGUGCCCUUUGGUUCGGAACAACUCAGGGAAACUUGAGCUAAUACCGGAUGUGCCCUUCGGGGGAAAGAUUUAUCGCCAUUGGAGCGGCCCGCGUCUGAUUAGCUAGUUGGUGAGGUAACGGCCCACCAAGGCGACGAUCAGUAGCUGGUCUGAGAGGAUGAUCAGCCACACUGGGACUGAGACACGGCCCAGACUCCUACGGGAAGCAGCAGUGGGGAAUCUUGCGCAAUGGGCGAAAGCCUGACGCAGCCAUGCCGCGUGAAUGAUGAAGGUCUUAGGAUUGUAAAAUUCUUUCAGCGGGGACGAUAAUGACGGUACCCGCAGAAGAAGCUUCGGCUAACUUCGUG
rnacentral:rRNA from 1 species